CCUACGGGUGGCUGCAGUAGGGAAUCUUUCACAAUGGGCGAACGCCUGAUGCAGCAACGCCGCGUGCAGGAUGAAGGCCUUCGGGUUGUAAACUUCUUUUAUAAGGGAGAAAGAUGAUGGUAGUUGAUGAAUAAGGAUCGGCGAACGACGUGCCAGCAGCCGCGGUCAUACGUAGGAGGCGGGGAUUAUCCGGAGUGACUGGGUGUAAAGAGUGGCGUAGGUGGGGUACUGAGUUGCUAUUGAAAUAUGGUGGCUCAACCAUUCAGACUAUUAGCGAAACUGUUAAGCUCGAGACCGUUAGGGGUAACUGGAAUUUCUAGUGUAGGAGUGAAAUGCGUAGAUAUUAGAAAGAACACCAAUAGCGUAGGCAGGUUACUGGGACGGUUCUGACACUGAGGCGCGAAAGCGUAGGGAGCAAACAGGAUUAGAUACCCCUGUAGUC
rnacentral:rRNA from 1 species